rnacentral:rRNA from 1 species
CCCUACGGGGCGCAGCAGUCGGGAAUAUUGCGCAAUGGAGGAAACUCUGACGCAGUGACGCCGCGUAUAGGAAGAAGGUUUUCGGAUUGUAAACUAUUGUCGUGAGGGAAGAAAUUGACAGUACCUCAGGAGGAAGCUCCGGCUAACUAUGUGCCAGCAGCCGCGGUAAUACAUAGGGAGCAAGCGUUAUCCGGAUUUAUUGGGUGUAAAGGGUGCGUAGGUGGCAGGGCAAGUCAGAUGUGAAAGCCCGGGGCUCAACCCCGGUACUGCAUUUGAAACUGUCCAGCUGGAGUGCAGGAGAGGUA